AUGUCGAUUACAGGCAUCCCAGAUAGCGUCGCACAGCGGAUCCACCUCCACUGUUUCCCCCCGGUUGCGUUCCUCUUUGCCGCUCUCGUACUGAGGGAACCUGUCCUGCGUGGAGUCCUGCAACUUCCAGGCCUGCGACCAGCAGCCACACCAGAUCCUGCAUCUCAGUCAGGUCAGUCAAGCCACGCUCAGUUUCCAGUCCUAGUUCAGCUGUGCUCUGUUCAGGCCCCCGUCCCAGUUCAGUCGUGCUCCGUUCAGGUUCUAGCUCAGUCCUGCCACGCUCAGAGUCCGGGUCAGUCCUGCCACGCUCAGAGUCCGGGUCAGUCCUGCCACGCUCAGAGUCCGGUUCAGUCCUGCUCUGCUCAGGCUCCAGCCCCAGUCCAGCCCAGUCACGUUCAGGUCCCAGUCCAGUCGAGUCAUGUCCAGUCAAGUCAUGUCCAGUCGAGUCACGCCCAGGUCCCAGUCCAGUCGGGUCACGUCCAGUCGAGUCACGCCCAGGUCCCAGUCCCAGUCCAGUCGGGUCACGUCCAGUCGAGUCACGCCCAGGUCUCAGUCCAGUCGGGUCACGUCCAGUCGAGUCACGCCCAGGUCCCAGUCCAGUCGGGUCACGUCCAGUCGAGUCACGCCCAGGUCCCAGUCCCAGUCCAGUCGGGUCACGUCCAGUCGAGUCACGCCCAGGUCCCAGUCCAGUCGGGUCACGUCCAGUCGAGUCACGCCCAGGUCCCAGUCCAGUCGGGUCACGUCCAGUCGAGUCACGCCCAGGUCCCAGUCCAGUCGGGUCACAUUCAGGUUCCAGCCCAGCCAGGGGGCACCACCCGUCAAACAAGUGCUAUCCACACCCGAUCAGGCCCGACGUCUACUCCGUCGAGCUCGGCAGCGGCAAGUAGCCACGCCAGCUCCAGAGAAGACGCCGUCUCAGUCCCUGCCGGCUCCAGUGAGGAGUCUGAGAGCAGCACUGCCGGCUCCAGUGAGGAGUCUGAGAGCAGCACUGCCGGCUCCAGUGAGGAGUCUGAGAGCAGCACUGCCGGCUCCAGUGAGGACGCCGUUCCUGUUCCUGUCGGCCAUGUACAGGUCGUUCCUGUUCCUGUCGGCCAUGUAGAGGUCGUUCCUGUUCCAGUCGGCCAUGUAGAGGUCGUUCCUGUUCCAGUCGGCCAUGUAGAGGUCGUUCCAGUCGGCCAUGUAGAGGUCGUUCCUGUCGGCCAUGUAGAGGUCGUUCCAGGAAGAGGUCGCGCCAGCUGA
rnacentral:lncRNA from 1 species